rnacentral:lncRNA from 1 species
AAAAUUAAGUCAUACAAAAAGAGAAAUAUUAAGAUCAAUUCUACUCAUUUUUUAUUUUUAAAUAGAGAGAAAUAAAGGAGUGAGAAAGUGUUGGGUGGACUAUUCUCCCCCCUAGAGAUGGGGAUCCGAGAAAGCUUCUUUGCAAGUUCUCAUAGCAAAGGGUAGAUACACAAGCAUGCUAUUGGCGUUUGAGUAACAGAAAAGGGAAUAAUCGAAAGAAAGAGGACUCAAAUAGUAUGGAUUUAGGUGCCUCGGCUUCAAAAACUUUCACUAUCAUCACAUCACUCAUUCGAAGGUAGAUGGAUGAGGUUGGACAGGAUAUAACUGGAGCUUUGAUAAAAAAAGUCUAUCGCUAUCUCUACUCUUAAUUAAGGUAGAGUCCUACUAGUAAUUUAAAAACAAGGUAAUGUAAAAAUAAAGAGAAUGAGAGAUAUCAUAUUGUUAUUUGCUUCUUUAUUAAAGUAUAGGUCAUUGCGCCACGCCUCGACCUUUCACCGUAGUUCUUUUUGCUCGGUUUCGAGCCCCUCCACUCGCAGAGCUUUGGGCCUGUUUUGAGUUUCUCGACUAAUCUUUCUGAAGUCCAGCUUUCGAAUGGGCUCGAUCUUCUCUUCUUAAGAGUAUUCUCCCUGAGGCUUCUUUGGAGUCGGCUACUAGAGAAAAUCUGAGUGGACUCGGUCUUUUCAUCUCAGGAGUAUGCUCCCUGAGGCAUCUCUAGGGUUGGCUACCCAGAGAAAAUUCAAGUGGGCUCGAUCUUCUCAUAUGGGAGUAUGUUCCCUGAGGCAUCUCUGGGGUUGGCUGCCCAGAGAAAAUCAAGAAGAGAAAAUUCGAAUGGGCUUGAUUUUUUGUCUCGAGAGUAUGCUCCUUGAGGUAUGUUUGGGGUUGUCUACUAGAGAAAAUCUAAGUGGGCUCGGUCUUCUCUUUUUGGAAGUAUGCUCCCCGAGGCAUCCCUGGAGUUGACUACAUAGAAAAAAUCUGAGUGGGCUCGGUCAUUUUAUCUCGAGAGUAUGCUCUCCGAGGCAUCUCUAGGGGUGGAUACUAGAGAAAAUUUGAGUAGGCUCGGUCUUCUCAUCUCGGAAGUAUGCUCUCCAAGGCAUCUAUAAGGUUGGCUAUCUAGAGAAAAUCCGAGUGGACUCGAUCUUCUCAUCCCAGGAGUAUGCUCCCUGAGGCAUCUCUAGGAUUGGCUAUGUGAAAAAAUCUGAGUAGGCUCGGCCUUCUCAUCUUGGGAGUAUGCUUCUCGAGGCAUCUUUAAGGUUGGUUACCCAGAGAAAAUUCGAAUGGGCUCAGUCCUCUUAUCUCGGGAGUAUGCUCCUCGAUGCAUCUCUAGGGUAAGCUACCCAGAAAAAAUCUGAGGGCGAUCGAUCUUCGAGAUGUCGGCGCCUCCAUUCAUCUCUAGAGUAUGCUCUUGGAAGAAUCUCUAGGUUUGGCUACCCGAGAAAAUCUGAGUAGACUCGAUCUUUAAGAGCUCGACACCUCUAUUCAUCUCCAGAGUAUGCUCCUAGAGGUAUGUCUGGGUUUGGUUACUAGAGAAAAUCCGAGUGGGCUCGGUCUUCUCAUCUUAGGAGCAUACUCUUUGAGGCAUUUCUGGAGUUGGCUAUCCAGAGAAAAUUUGAGUGGUCUCAAUCUUCUCAUCUCAGGAGUGUGCUCCCCGAGGCAUCUUUAGGGUUGGCUACCUAGAAAAAAUUCGAGUGGCUCGGUCUUCGGAAGGUUGGCACCUCCGUUCAUGUUCAAAGUAUGCUUCCGGAGGCAUCUCUAGAUUUGGCUACUAGAGAAAAUUCAAAUGUGCUCGAUCUUCAGAAUGUCGGCACCUCCAUUCGUCUCUGGAGUAUGCUCCCCAAGGCAUCUUGAACCGAUGUGGGAUCGGUUCCUCCAUGAUAUGCUGGGAGAAGGGAGGCUCCGAGGAGAAGUUGAGGUCGUUGGUUGCCCUCGGAACCUACCCCUUAAAGUACUGAAUCUGGAAGUCCAUUUUCUUGAUCCUCUUAUCAAGGUUGACGCCCUACUUCAACGAGGGCUCCAUGGGAUCAGGCAAGAGGCUCUGGACAGAGUCACUGCCGGAAUGGGAGGUUGCAUGGGGUCACUCUGUCGAGUGUGCUGACUCUGAGGCGACCACUCAGAAUUUUGGUCACUCCGGCAUCAGUAGAUUUAACAGGCUCCAAAAUUUCUAUUUUGCUCUAGUACAAAUACUAUAACAUUUCAAGAUUUUGUAUAAAAAAUUAUUUACUUAUUGAUUAUGCAAGAAAAGAAUUUUUAGUCAAUUUCAUUGUUGGGACUAAGUAUGAGUUGAGCUCUACAUAUUUACUAAACUUUUAAUAUACGUGUAUUGAACUUCCAAUAUAUAUAAUAAUUAUUUGAUAUAUAUUUGUUUAGAUUAUCACCAUUUUUUUAUCUAAAUCUAGGAUGAAAAUUUUCCAAAACCCUUAAUACGUAUGGUUUUGUAAAAAAAAAUUCUCAUCUUUUCUUUUACGAUAAAUUACUAAGUAAUUAUUUUUAAUAUAAAAUCUUUAAUUGUUUUUGCAUUUAAAUCCAGGAUGAAAAUCGUCAAGGACCCUUCAUGUGUAUGGUUUUGCGGGCAAAAAAAAAAUGAAAAUCUCAUCUUCUAUUUCAUAGUCAACAACUAAAUAACUUUUUAAUAUGAACCUAUAAAAUUAAAUUGGAUCAAGGAGUCAUCUUUCCGUGAUAACAUCGGUGGAAGCUUGAUGGGAACUCACAGCGAGCGGAUUGGAGUGGGCUUUCGCAUCGAUGAUCCGAAGCCACGUAGUACCACGAGAUGUCAAACCCUCCCAGCAACACGUCGCGAACCGCAGCCUGCGUGCGAUUCCGAAGCGUGCCCGCCACCGGCACCGUCCCUGCGGUAGCGCAGCUGUUCCGAAGAGCGGCCACCGUCACAUAUCCCACCACCGCAUGCAAGUACUCUUUGGAGGGGGAAGAAUGAUCGACACAAGAAGCGAUGGGGAUAUAUGAAGGAUCGCCCUCCAAUGAUGCGGGGCAAGUCACGAACGUGACGCUGGUGUCGCUCGCUAGCUCGUAGGGAUCGCCAUACGUGAAUAUCGACGGAGGCACGAAGGGUAGAGACCGCGGGGAGCAGCUCGCGGGAUCGAGGUCGGCGAGGACGACGCGGGCCACCUGGUCCUCGUAGGAGAUCUUCUCCACGUAGUACUUGGUCGAGUACAACUCCAAGACGGCUCGGUUCUGAUCACAGG